UGCCGGGUAGUAUAAUGGUAAUACAGACGACUCUGAAUCGUCUAUUCUAGGUUCGAGUCCUAGCCCGGCAG
rnacentral:tRNA from 1 species